rnacentral:rRNA from 1 species
GCAGUCGAGCGGACUUGAUGGAGUGCUUGCACUCCUGAUGGUUAGCGGCGGACGGGUGAGUAACACGUAGGUAACCUGCCCAUAAGACUGGGAUAACCCACGGAAACGUGAGCUAAUACCAGAUAGGCAUUUUCCUCGCAUGAGGGAGAUGAGAAAGGCGGAGCAAUCUGCCACUUAUGGAUGGACCUGCGGCGCAUUAGCUAGUUGGUAAGGUAACGGCUUACCAAGGCGACGAUGCGUAGCCGACCUGAGAGGGUGAUCGGCCACACUGGGACUGAGACACGGCCCAGACUCCUACGGGAGGCAGCAGUAGGGAAUCUUCCGCAAUGGACGAAAGUCUGACGGAGCAACGCCGCGUGAGUGAUGAAGGUUUUCGGAUCGUAAAGCUCUGUUGCCAGGGAAGAACGCCUAGGAGAGUAACUGCUCCUAGGGUGACGGUACCUGAGAAGAAAGCCCCGGCUAACUACGUGCCAGCAGCCGCGGUAAUACGUAGGGGGCGAGCGUUGUCCGGAAUUAUUGGGCGUAAAGCGCGCGCAGGCGGCAAUGUAAGUUGGGUGUUUAAACCUAGGGCUCAACCUUGGGUCGCAUCCAAAACUGCAUAGCUUGAGUACAGAAGAGGAAAGUGGAAUUCCACGUGUAGCGGUGAAAUGCGUAGAGAUGUGGAGGAACACCAGUGGCGAAGGCGACUUUCUGGGCUGUAACUGACGCUGAGGCGC